UACGGGGGAGCAAGCGUUGUUCGGAUUUACUGGGCGUAAAGGGCGCGUAGGCGGCGUGGUGAAGUCAGCUGUGAAAUCGUCCGAAGCUUAACUCGGAACGGUCAGCUGAUACUGCCUGUGCUAGAGUGCAGGAAGGGGCAAUCGGAAUUCUUGGUGUAGCGGUGAAAUGCGUAGAUAGUCAAAGAGGAACACCUGAGGUGAAGACGGGUUGCCGUAGGGCUGAUGACUGACGCUGAGGCGCGAAAGCCAGGGGAGCGAAACGGG
rnacentral:rRNA from 1 species